GACGAACGCUGGCGGCGUGCUUAGCACAUGCAAGUCGAACGGUAAGGCCCUUCGGGGUACACGAGUGGCGAACGGGUGAGUAACACGUGGGUGAUCUGCCCUGCACUUCGGGAUAAGCCUGGGAAACUGGGUCUAAUACCGGAUAGGACUCCGGACUGCAUGGUCUGGGGUGGAAAGCUUUUGCGGUGUGGGAUGGGCCCGCGGCCUAUCAGCUUGUUGGUGGGGUGAUGGCCUACCAAGGCGACGACGGGUAGCCGGCCUGAGAGGGGGACCGGCCACACUGGGACUGAGAUACGGCCCAGACUCCUACGGGAGGCAGCAGUGGGGAAUAUUGCACAAUGGGCGCAAGCCUGAUGCAGCGACGCCGCGUGAGGGAUGACGGCCUUCGGGUUGUAGACCUCUUUCAGCACCGACGAAGCGCAAGUGACGGUAGGUGCAGAAGAAGGACCGGCCAACUACGUGCCAGCAGCCGCCGUAA
rnacentral:rRNA from 1 species